UCAUUAAAAAGGCUAUUGAUACGAUCCCCCAAAUAUUUACGCAAUUUUAAAAAUACACCAUUCUCUAUAUAUUGUCGAGAGGGCUCUCAAUGGCAUUGGGAACAAUAAAAUAAUUUCCUCGCAGAGCGCAGUGCAGCUACAGCUGUAAAUUUUUCAGUGCACACAUUAAAUCAGAGCAAUGGAGGAGGAAAUACUGCAAGAAAUCGAGGCCGUAAAAUCAGUUUAUGGUCCAGAUUGCAGCGUUUUAGAGGAAUUCCCCCCUCACGUGAGAGUCAAUUUGAAGCCUCGAACUGCAGAAGAUUUAUCACAGCAGUUUGUGGAAGCUGUUCUUGUUAUCAAGGCAAAUUCACAGUAUCCAGUGGUGCCUCCCGAACUAGAGUUGAUAGAUUCAAAAGGACUUGAUGAUAAACGUCAUUCAGAUCUUCUGUUAGAAAUACAACAUGAGGCUGAAAUGCUGGCAUCAUCUCCCAUGCUUGUAGCAUUGUGCGAGGCAGCAAUAGAUAAACUCUCCAACAUGAAUCAUCCAGAAGGGAAUUGUUCAUUCUGCUUGUUUCCAUUGGUUAUGGAGGAUACUCAGAGUGCAUUGAGGCCUUUCAUGAAGCUGAUGUCUUGCUUUCAUUGCUUUCACAGUGAUUGCUUUGGGAGGUGGUGGAGAUGGCUUCAAGAGCAGAACCAACAUGAACAAUGUAAAUCAGCUGAUACAACUCUAUCAGGACUAACAGAGAAUGCAGAUGAAAUUUAUUCUCGUUUACCUUAUAGUUCUGAGGCUAGCAAAUUUGAGGAGUGUCAGUUAGUAAACUGUCCAGUAUGCCGAAAGGUGAUUCAUGCUAAAGAUGUUGAUCAUUUACGGCAGUUUUUGACAUCUGGUUUAGAUCUUCAGGAGAAUGAUGAAGGAAGCAUAAUUGACAAUAUUCUUUCAACGGAAGCGGAGAAUAAGAGGAGAGAACAAUUUGAACAAAUGUUCAACGUACAGAAACAGUGUGGAGGGAUUAUUGAGCCUAAAAAGCUUGUCAUUUUACCUGGCAUGUUUCUACCUGGUUCUGCUCUUGCAUCAGUUGAAUCGAUUGAUAGUGACAAUGAAGAAAUUGUCCCUGUUCAAGAUAUAAAUAUGGGGCGUGGUUCAGCUGAAACAGCAACUGGUUGUUCUGACCUACCUAGCUCAAGUACAAGUCCCACGUCUUACGUUGAGACAGAAGAGGCAAGCCAUGUUAUGGCUGGUAAACACUUAGAUGCUAAUUCCAAGAGACCGAAUUUUGGGAAGAGGGGGCAAAAUAACUUAAGAAGAUCUGAUAAUCAGCAAAAUUCACACAGACAGAAACAGCAUUCAAGGCGACAAACAGGUGCCUUACCAUCAACGACUUGUUGGAUCAAGAAAGAAUAGACGCUAUCAAUUGACUAUUGCAAUGUGUAUAAUUGUCUGCACCAUUGAUGGGAACUGCCACAAUGCGUCAUACAUCUGAAUUCAUAAUUUUUUUGCGAGUGCACAGGUCUCAAAGAAGAUUGAGUUUGUUCAUAACAGAUUUUUUUAAGCUCUCUAUAACGUUUUGCAAUAUAUAGUAGCACAUUUUUUAGAUGAUUACCAAGAAAACAGCAUACUCGGUUUUAUAAACAUCUGUAACUCUGUAUAAUUUCAGAGGUAAAGUUGGAGAGGAACUCCAUUUGUCCUUAUAUAGUAAAUAUUAAAAUAAUAAACGUGAUAAAAAAAAAAGCUUGGAUUGUGAUUUCCCAA